rnacentral:misc_RNA from 1 species
GUCUUCCUACUCUUUUCUUUCACUUCCUUUUUCCAUAUCCCCAUGGCAAACUUUCUCAGAAAAUCUUUAAGUUUCUUUCUGAUUCUUGUGCUGAUAAAUUUGGUUUUCCUUGAGACCGAAGCUGGUCGUCCCCUGAAGACGAGAGACUCUACUGCUAGUAGAGUGAUUAAGGGUUUCUUGGAUGGAUUCUCUCUGGGAGCAAUCAAGGAGUCUGGGCCAAGUCCUGGCGUAGGACACAAGUACGCCAACACCAAAACCCUAGGCGGAAUCAAGGAUUCGGGUCCCAGCCCCGGUGAAGGACACAAGGCUGUUAAUGGCAACCACCUGUGAUUUUAGCCUAUCUCCAACUCUCCCUUCAAUUUUUAGCCCACACAUGCGCAACUUCAAUUCAUUAUUAUUAUUAUUAUUAUUUUUUUA